GGGCCCGUAGCUCAGGCUGGUUAGAGCGCACGCCUGAUAAGCGUGAGGUCGGAAGUUCGAGUCUUCCCGGGCCCA
rnacentral:tRNA from 2 species